CCCUUAGAUGUUCUGGGCCGCACGCGUGCUACACUGAGUGGAUCAGCGGGUCAGGUUGCGCGAAAGUGUUUCCUAAUCUUGAAAUCCGCUCGUGAUGGGGAUUGACGGUUGCAAUUUUCCGUCAUGAACGAGGAAUACCUUGUAAGCGCGGGUCAUCAUCCCGCGCUGAAUACGUCCCUGCCCUUUGUACACACCGCCCGUCGCUCCUACCGAUUGAGUGGUCCGGUGAGGCUUUGGGAUCUGAGCAAAGAGAGCGUUUCGCUCGUUUUGCUCGGAAAACUCAGUCGAACCUUAUCAUUUAGAGGAAGGAGAAGUCGUAACA
rnacentral:rRNA from 1 species